UAAGGAAUAUUGGUCAAUGGACGCAAGUCUGAACCAGCCAUGCCGCGUGAAGGAUGAAGGUCCUCUGGAUUGUAAACUUCUUUUAUCUGGGACGAAAACGGGAUUUUUAUCUCAAUUGACGGUACCAGAGGAAUAAGCACCGGCUAACUCCGUGCCAGCAGCCGCGGUAAUACGGAGGGUGCGAGCGUUAUCCGGAUUUACUGGGUUUAAAGGGUGCGUAGGUGGGCUUAUAAGUCAGUGGUGAAAUCUCCGAGCUUAACUUGGAAACUGCCGUUGAUACUAUAGGUCUUGAAUUAUCUGGAGGUAAGCGGAAUAUGUCAUGUAGCGGUGAAAUGCUUAGAUAUGACAUAGAACACCAAUUGCGAAGGCAGCUUACUACACAAUCAUUGACACUGAGGCACGAAAGCGUGGGUAGCGAACA
rnacentral:rRNA from 1 species